rnacentral:rRNA from 1 species
GGGAUGUAUCUGACACUGAAGACAGCUAGUGGGGGAGCGAACAUGAUUAGUCACCGCAGUAGUCGUAGCAGUCAACGAUGGAUGGAGGGUGUGCGGGGUAUAGAUGCCCUCCUUGCAGAAGAUAUCGCCUUAAGCAUGCCGCCUGCGAAUUACGGCCGCAAGAAUUAUAUUCAAAAGAAUUGACGGGGGCCCGCACAAGCAGCGGAUGGUGUGGUUUAAUUGGAUGCUACACGAAGAACAUUACGUGGGCUUGACAUGUAGGUAGUAGUGAAGAGCAAGCGGAACGUCCUUUCGGGGAGCAUACACAGGUGGUGCAUGGCUGUCGUCAGUUCGUGCCGUGAGGUGUCGGGUUAAGUCCCCUAUCGUACGCAACCCUUAGCCUUAGUUUCAGGUGUUUAAGGGGACUGCCCGGGACAACUGGGAGGAAGGUGGGGAGGACGUCAAGUCAGCAUGGCCUUCAUGUCCAGGGCUACCCACACGCCACAAUGGCCGGUACAAUGGGUAGCCAAGCCGUGAGGUGGAGCCAAUCCCCCUAAUCCGGUCUAAGUUCGGAUUUUGGGAUGCAACUCGCCCAUCUGAAGCCGGAAUUGGUAGUUACCGCGCGUCAGCAAUACAGCGGUGAAUACGUUCCCGGGCCUUGUACA